UUUGUUUCCCCUCACAGCAGGCCCCGAGGCAGGUACUACGGUAGGGUAGGUGGGCACCGGGUCAUUUAUUUGGCAGUGAUCUCAGGGAAGCACAUGUGAAGAAGUGGAUGAAGAGAGACGGAAGGGAGGGAAGCCUAUAGAGUACGCAUUAAUGAGGGGGUUAAAAUUCUGGGCAGUGGGGACCCAGUCCCACAGGGGACCUGCUGACAAACUGUGGAACAAGCCCUAUGUUAAUUUACUCACAGAUAUUGAUCCCCUGGAUAUGGGGCACCAGGGGUGCCCUUCUGAGGUGCCCCUGCUUGUGGGUGAGUGAAAUCAUGUGGUUCAUGUGGUGCCAGAAAAACCGUUAGGCAGAAAAGGAGGCAGCAGGGUGAGAACAGGACUGGAAACUCUCCACCCUGGCUGCAGGGGAAGAAAAUCGAGCUUUUACAGAGGACACUCACCUAUGCAGAACGAGCUGGCAUCAAAUCCAGCUCGGACUGCAGCGCGUGGGCUCUUAAGGGAAAGCCUAACCAGAACGUUAGCCUGCUGCACAGAACUGGGAGACUCACACUGUGAGGAGCUUGCCCAAACAACGCUGAAAGGUGACAUUCUCCAAACGUCUUUACACGUUAUGGAAUGCCUCAGACAGGACUGCAAUGGCUACAACAGUUAAUCUGAACCUCCUCCUUGCAAAUGUUAUCUUGUGUGCAGAUCAAGAAAGUCCUUCCCACUCAUCUGUAGUAAGCCCUGGAAAAUAUAAGCAGCAGCCCCUGAAAUUCUCCUCAUAACUAGUACAUAUCUUGUCUAAGGAGAGGUGUCAGGACACAUCCCAAAUGCGAAGUCACGGGCUUUCAGAGGCAGCGGGGAGAGGCUCCACUGUCCUAAAUUGCCUCACCCCCUGCCUCUUCGUGUACAUUUUUUGAUGGAAAGGUGUGAGAGGAGUGCCUAGAAAGUCAUCCUGCAGGUAGGUGAUCCUGAUUUUAUAAUUAGGAGAUUUUUACGUAUACUGAAGCCCUAUAUGAGGAUGCUAAGACACAACAGAGGAUGGCAUUUGUUCCCUCUGAUAGCAUAGUUUUAGAUAUCUGAGAGCUGUGGAGACAGACUGAUCUGCAGCCAGACAGAUGUAGCUCUGUUCUUCCUAGGUGAGAGUCCCUGGGUGUACCACAUAACCUCCCCAAGCCUGCUUCUCAUUGUAAAAUGAGGCCACUACAACCUACCUCAUGGGGUUUUGGAAUAAAUGGGUCCAGCUCAUAGCAGACAGUCAAUAAAAGACCGUUUAUUUCCCCUGCAA